CCAGGUGUGGGCACGGAGCGGGGUGAACACGUAGGGGGGGGGCGUUGGCCGGAAGUAGUGGGCGUGAAGAGGUCGGAGGCGGGGUGGCGCGGCGGCCGUGAAAACUUGCAGCUGAACUGUGGGCGUGCGGUCGAUACGGGCAUCACUGGAGUUCGGCAGGGGAGACUGGAAUUCCUGGUGUAGCGGUGAAAUGCGCAGAUAUCAGGAGGAACACCGGUGGCGAAGGCGGGUCUCUGGGCCGAUACUGACGCUGAGGAGCGAAAGCGUGGGGAGCGAACAGGAUUAGAUACCCUGGUAGUC
rnacentral:rRNA from 1 species